UACAGAGGGUGCGAGCGUUGUCCGGAAUCACUGGGCGUAAAGGGCGCGUAGGUGGCGACCCAAGUCCGUGGUGAAAGCUCGCCGCUUAACGGCGAGUCGGCCACGGAGACUGGGUGGCUCGAGCACUGUAGGGGCAGAUGGAAUUCCGGGUGUAGCGGUGGAAUGCGUAGAGAUCCGGAAGAACACCAGUGGCGAAGGCGGUCUGCUGGGCAGUAGCUGACACUGAGGCGCGACAGCGUGGGGAGCAAACAGG
rnacentral:rRNA from 1 species